CAAAAACAUAACUAGAUGUAAUUAUAUUUAGUGCUUCCUGCUCAAUGAUAUAUUUAAUAGCCGCAGUACCUUGACUGUGCAAAGGUAGCAUAAUCAAUUGGCUUAUAAUUGAAGUCUAGAAUGAAAGGAUAUACGAGUAAUUACUGUAUCUAAUAUUUACUGCAAAAUUAAUUUUCAAGUGCAAAUACUUGUAAAUAAUUGUUAGACGAGAAGACCCUAGAAAUUUGUAUUAAUGUUUCGUUGGGGCAACGUAGUAGGAAAACCUACAGUUAAAGACAAGAAAAAAAUUUGAGAGAAAAAAUUACUCUAGGGAUAACAGCAUAAUUUAUAAAAGUUUGUGACCUCGAUGUUGGAUUUGGGAGCUAUAGUUCARAARACCUUUAGUACCGCUCUGUUCGAGCAUAAUAC
rnacentral:rRNA from 1 species